rnacentral:rRNA from 1 species
AGUGAACGCUGGCGGUAGGCCUAACACAUGCAAGUCGAACGGCAGCACAGUAAGAGCUUGCUCUUACGGGUGGCGAGUGGCGGACGGGUGAGGAAUACAUCGGAAUCUACUUUUUCGUGGGGGAUAACGUAGGGAAACUUACGCUAUACCGCAUACGACCUACGGGUGAAAGCAGGGGAUCUUCGGACCUUGCGCGAUUGAAUGAGCCGAUGUCGGAUUAGCUAGUUGGCAGGGUAAAGGCCCACCAAGGCGACGAUCCGUAGCUGGUCUGAGAGGAUGAUCAGCCACACUGGAACUGAGACACGGUCCAGACUCCUACGGGAGGCAGCAGUGGGGAAUAUUGGACAAUGGGCGCAAGCCUGAUCCAGCCAUACCGCGUGGGUGAAGAAGGCCUUCGGGUUGUAAAGCCCUUUUGUUGGGAAAGAAAAGCAGCAGGUUAAUACCCCGCUGUUCUGACGGUACCCAAAGAAUAAGCACCGGCUAACUUCGUG